AGAACGAACGCUGGCGGCGUGCUUAACACAUGCAAGUCGGACGGGGGUCGCAAGACCCUAGUGGCGGACGGGUGAGUAACGCGUGGGUGACCUGCCCCGGGAUGGGGGAUACCCGACCGAAAGGGUCGGCUAAUACCGCAUACGGUCCACGGCAUGACAGCUGUGGAAGAAAGGCGCAAGCCGUCUUGGGAUGGGCUCACGCCCGAUUAGCUAGUUGGUGAGGUAACGGCUCACCAAGGCGACGAUCGGUAGCUGGUCUGAGAGGAUGAUCAGCCACACUGGAACUGAGACACGGUCCAGACUCCUACGGGAGGCAGCAGUGAGGAAUUUUCCGCAAUGGGCGCAAGCCUGACGGAGCGACGCCGCGUGGAGGACGAAAUCUUUCGGGAUGUAAACUCCUUUCGACCGGAACGAAACAAAUGACGGUACCGGGAGAAGAAGCAUCGGCUAACUACGUGCCAGCAGCCGCGGUAAGACGUAGGAUGCAAGCGUUGUUCGGAAUUACUGGGCGUAAAGGGUGCGUAGGCGGCCCUUUAAGUCGGUGGUGAAAGCCUGGAGCUCAACUCCAGAGACGCCGCCGAGACUGAAGGGCUCAGAGGACGGCAGAGGGGGGUAGAAUUCCCAGUGUAGCGGUGAAAUGCGUAGAUAUUGGGAGGAAUACCAGUGGCGAAAGCGACCCCCUGGGUUAGUCCUGACGCUGAGGUACGAAAGCGUGGGGAGCAAACGGGAUUAGAUACCCCGGUAGUCCACGCCGUAAACGAUGGGUGCUAGGUGUAGGUGGUAUCGACCCCACCUGUAUCGAAGCUAACGCGAUAAGCACCCCGCCUGGGGAGUACGGCCGCAAGGUUG
rnacentral:rRNA from 1 species